CAUUUUGAAACACCGGUUCCCGUACGAUCACCGAAGUUAAGCAAUGUCGAGCCUGGUCAGAAACUAUAUGGGUGACGGCAUGAAAAAUAGGCGGUGUUGUAA